GAUGAACGCUGACAGAAUGCUUAACACAUGCAAGUCGAGCGGUAACAGGAAUUAGCUUGCUAAUUUGCUGACGAGCGGCGGACGGGUGAGUAAUGCCUGGGAAUAUGCCUUGAUGUGGGGGAUAACUAUUGGAAACGAUAGCUAAUACCGCAUAAUGCCUUCGGGCCAAAGAGGGGGACCUUCGGGCCUCUCGCGUCAGGAUAUGCCCAGGUGGGAUUAGCUAGUUGGUGAGGUAAUGGCUCACCAAGGCGACGAUCCCUAGCUGGUCUGAGAGGAUGAUCAGCCACACUGGAACUGAGACACGGUCCAG
rnacentral:rRNA from 1 species